GGCACUGCAUGAAGAUCCUGAAAAGAGGCUGAAGGUAGGAUCUUGGACUUGGCAGCCUCCAUAAUGCUCACCACAAAAGCAAUUUGAUAUUUAAAGCUUGACAGUUUCCAAAGAAGCUCUUCACCAGAGUUGUUGGAGACCCUCAACAAUCAUUAAAACACAGAGAAUUAGAAAUGAUUGGAAGUGAAGAAAUGAGAACUCUCUUGAAAUAUAAUCACAGUAGCAUUGUAACCCAUCUAUGACCAGACCUUCCCACAGGUUCCAAGGACUUGAUAUGCAAUCAAAAACAUAUGAAUCCAGAAGUUGACCCAUUCCAAGCAAUAACAAGAUUUCUCAGAGAAAUACACCCAGAAUAAAUAUCUUAUUGCUCAACACA